GAUGAACGCUGGCGGCGUGCCUAAUACAUGCAAGUCGAGCGAACGGACGAGAAGCUUGCUUCUUUGAUGUUAGCGGCGGACGGGUGAGUAACACGUGGAUAACCUACCUAUAAGACUGGGAUAACUUCGGGAAACCGGAGCUAAUACUGGAUAAUAUUUUGAACCGCAUGGUUCAAAAGUGAAAGACGGUCUUGCUGUCACUUAUAGAUGGAUCCGCGCUGCAUUAGCUAGUUGGUAAGGUAACGGCUUACCAAGGCAACGAUGCAUAGCCGACCUGAGAGGGUGAUCGGCCACACUGGAACUGAGACACGGUCCAGACUCCUACGGGAGGCAGCAGUAGGGAAUCUUCCGCAAUGGGCGAAAGCCUGACGGAGCAACGCCGCGUGAGUGAUGAAGGUCUUCGGAUCGUAAAACUCUGUUAUUAGGGAAGAACAUAUGUGUAAGUAACUGUGCACAUCUUGACGGUACCUAAUCAGAAAGCCACGGCUAACUACGUG
rnacentral:rRNA from 1 species